GGGCUGGUAGAUCAGUUGGUAGAUCGCUACAUUGGCAUUGUAGAGGCCAGGGGUUCGAAUCCCCUCCAGUCCA
rnacentral:tRNA from 1 species